CUACGGGUGGCAGCAGUCGAGGAUCUUUCGCAAUGGGGGAAACCCUGACGAAGCGACGCCGCGUGGGCGAUGAAGGCCUUCGGGUUGUAAAGCCCUGUCACGGGGGACGAAUCCACAAAGGUUAACAUCCCGAGUGAUUGACGGUACCCCGAGAGGAAGCCACGGCUAACUCCGUGCCAGCGGCCGCGGUAAUACGGAGGUGGCAAGCGUUGUUCGGAAUUACUGGGUGUAAAGGGCAUGUAGGCGGCCUGCUAAGUCGAUCGUGAAAUCCCUUGGCUCAACCAAGGAAUGGCGAUCGAAACUGGCGGGCUUGAGUGCAGGAGAGGAAAGCGGAAUUCCCGGUGUAAGGGUGAAAUCUGUAGAGAUCGGGAGGAACACCAGUGGCGUAGGCGGCUUUCUGGCCUGUAACUGACGCUGAAAUGCGAAAGCUAGGGGAGCAAACAGGAUUAGAUACCCCUGUAGUC
rnacentral:rRNA from 1 species